CCUCCUUACGGCCUCUCUCUCACCAGUACUUUCAGGUGCCUCGUGGAAGCAGAGGCUCAGAACUUAACUGGCUCUCUGUCACGCACCAAGGUAGUCUCCUGCCAACAGAUACAGCCACGAGGUCCCUCUGGGCUUCUUUCCACCAGGCAGGAAGCUGAACCAUGCUGAGUCCCCUUGCUGUCCUGUGUGCCCUCCUGUUUCCCGGUGGCGGAGCAGGACUCAAGCUUGAGCAGACUCCUGUGGUCGUGGUGCACUUGGGCACCUCGGCCACCCUACCGUGCACAGUGGAUAGCUCAGUCAACUACAUCCACUGGUACUUCCACAGGGAGGGUAUUGCCCCUAAGAGACUCCUUUACAUAUACACAUACAGCUCAUCUGUGCAGAGGGAUGCAUCUGUGAACAUGGGCAAAGUCAAUGCCAAGAUGGACAAGAACAAUUACAGCUGUAAACUGUUGGUGCAGAAGCUGGAGAAGAGCGACGAAGGCGUGUACUACUGCGCUGCCUGGGAAGAGCACAGCCACUCCUGCUGCCCUGGCCCCUGCACAAAUAGGUCUCCAUCUCCCAGGGCGAUUCAUGCCUGGCAACUUCCUCUGGCUCUAGGUGUCUGAGGUUGUCCUGGGGACAGUCCUCAGCACCCUGUCUUCUGAGCUGUGACAGACUGGGGAUUAAAGAAUCUGACCACCUCCAUGAAGAAUAUGGUAAUAAAACAUGGUGCAAAUCAUUUCAAGAGUGAAGGACACUCUGGAGAUCUACCACAAAAUGUUCAAAAGCUGAGACUGGGAGUCACCUCCUGAUUCCAGUUUCUAUGUUGCUGCCCCGCCCCCUGCUAGUUACUUGCAGUGGAGAGUCAGGGAGCAGAGGCUCAGGAAGCUGAGGGCUAACUUCUCAGCACCCUCGUGCACUGGCAUGUCUGGGGCUCAGCUCCUGUCGGGGGGACAUGAUCCUCAUGCAGGUGGAUCCAUCAGCCCUAAAGGAGACCUGGAAUCCUCCACCUUCUGCUUCUGCUUAAAUGCUACUGUAUAUGGGACUUGGAGAUCAGAUUCCCUAGACCUCUGUUCUCUCCUCUGUAAAAUGAAGUACUUUAGCAGACAGAAAUGUGGCUGAUUUUUGUGUUAAACAAAAAUUUUACCAAUAAGAUAUCACUAUGU